rnacentral:rRNA from 1 species
GCGUGGGGAGCAAACAGGAUUAGAUACCCUGGUAGUCCACGCCGUAAACGGUGGGCGCUAGAUGUGGGGACCCUUCCAUGGUUUCUGCGUCGCAGCUAACGCAUUAAGCGCCCCGCCUGGGGAGUACGGUCGCAAGACUAAAACUCAAAGGAAUUGACGGGGGCCCGCACAAGCAGCGGAGCAUGCGGCUUAAUUCGAUGCAACGCGAAGAACCUUACCUAGACUUGACAUAUACGGAAAACAUGCAGAGAUGUAUGGUCCUAACGGGCCGUUUACAGGUGGUGCAUGGUUGUCGUCAGCUCGUGUCGUGAGAUGUUGGGUUAAGUCCCGCAACGAGCGCAACCCUCGCUCUAUGUUGCCAGCACGUAAUGGUGGGGACUCAUAGGAGACUGCCGGGGUCAACUCGGAGGAAGGUGGGGAUGACGUCAAAUCAUCAUGCCCCUUAUGUCUAGGGCUGCACGCAUGCUACAAUGGCUGGUACAAAGGGCUGCGAUACCGCAAGGUGGAGCGAAUCCCAAAAAGCCAGUCUCAGUUCGGAUUGGGGUCUGCAACUCGACCCCAUGAAGUUGGAGUUGCUAGUAAUCGCAGAUCAGCAACGCUGCGGUGAAUACGUUCCCGGGCCUUGUACACACCGCCCGUCACGUCACGAAAGUCGGUAACACCCGAAGCCGGUGGCCUAACCGUAAGGAAGGAGCCGUCGAAG